AUGACUUUGAUGAAAUCGAGGAGGAACAGCACUAAGGAAGGAUUGAGAAAAACAACGCUGGCCAUGAUCCGCAGAGUGGCCUUCCUGCAGAGGAAAAACUCCACAGGUGAGGAGUGUGGAUCUGUGUCUCACGUUGUGUUACAUCUGAAGCACCCUCCAGCUGUACUGUGCCCUAUGCCGGAGGGGCUCAGCGGCCAGCAGGUCAUCCGACGCCUCAUUCUCAGCUCUAUUGUUCAAAGUGAGAGCAGCUACCUGGACUCCUUGAAGAGGAUCCUGCAGGAAUACCAAAAGCCGCUACUGGAGAGCCACACUUCCAUCCUAAACCCGGAGAAGGUGCAUCAGAUCUUCUUCCGUCUGAGGGAGAUCCAUCAGUGCCACUCCAUGUUCCAGAUCGCCCUGGCAUCGCGCGUGGCGGACUGGGAUCAGAGUGAGAUGAUUGGAGACCUGUUUGUGGCCUCGUUUUCAAAGUCCAUGGUGCAGAGCGUGUACAGAGACUACAUCAACAAUUUCACCAAAGCCAUGGCGCUCAUCAAGAAGGCCUGCGUUUUGGACUGUGAACGUCUGUGCUGCUCCUUCCUGUGGAGUCUUCUGGUUGUGGUGCCUCAGGACAUGUUGAAGAACACUCCGCUGGCCCAUAAGGACAGACUUCCUCUGCAGCUGGCUCUCACCGAGCUUGAGAUCCUGGCAGAAAAGCUCAACGAAGAGAGGCGUUUGGCUGACCAAGAAGCAGAAAUCCAGCAGCUGGCCCAUAGCAUAGGAGACCGCAACCUCAACAAGCUGCUAAACUCGGAGCAGAGGCAGCUGAUCCACUCUGAGCUGCUGACUGAGACUGUCUAUGGGGACAAAGGUCAAGUCCUUAAGUCUAAGAAGCGAAAGGUGUUUCUCUUCAGUGACUCGUUGAUUUGUGCCAACAUCAACUGGAAGGGUCCUCCUGAAAUCAGCAGCCUGGUUCCCCUGGGAGCCAAAUGCUCGGUGAAGUGGUGUGCCCCUGUGGCACAGAUCCAAGUGGAGGAGGUGGGGCAGGAUGGGGUUGUGAUUAGUAGGCGGCAUAGUAAAAGCAGCUGUUUAUUUGCAGGGAAGUUGUUCCUGGGGCCCCCCAGGUUAUUCCAGGAACUGGAGGAGCUACAGCAUGACCUGGCUGUGGUGGAGGAGGUGUCUCUGCUGGUGGGCACGUUACAUGGACUCUACCAGAACCUGAACAGCACAGUGUCUCAGGACUGGUGCUGCGCUCUGCAGAGGCUCAUCCGUCUGAAGGAAGAGCAGAUCCAGGACGCCAACAAGUGCUGCCUGCGUCUGUCCAUUCCAAGCCGUCCAGACAGGUCUGGACGCCCUGUGAGCAUUAUGGUGGUCUUCAACACCCUCAGCCCCCACAGCAAAAUCUUCUGGGUGAACCGCAUCUACCUUGCUAAGCUGGCUCAGAGAAAGGAAAACUCUCCUGGAUGGGAAUGUUAUGAAGAUGACUGCAAGACCCAAACCCUGUUUGGGUCUCCACUGCUGACCUGCUCUUUGCCGGUUCUGUCCUCCAGGACACUCUCUCUGACGCUGAAGGCGGCUCUGCACAGUCCUUCUCAGUCCACCCUGCUUGGUCUCUGCUCCACCACCACAUGUCUGCCGCAGGGUUACCUCUGGGUUGCUGGUGGUGGAGGCGGCUCUCUCCACGGCCAAGUGGAUAUCUUCUCUUUGAACCGAACCACACCUCGCUUGGUGAAGAGCAUCCCACUGAGGUCCCCCGUCCUCUGUCUGGAGCUUGUGAGGGAGCCAGGUCCCCAGACUGAUGAAGAAGAGGAGGAGAAAGAGUCUGGGAGGGUCACCAGGGCAGAGAACAUCAUCUGUGUGGGUCUGCAGGACGGCAGCAUUCACGUGCACAGCAGUGUGGACACGGCUGUGGAGACUCUGCAGACCCUGGUGAACCCGGACAGCUGCCCUGUGCUCUGCCUCAAACAUUCGACCUCCUUCCUCUUUGCUGGACUGGCCAACGGUAAAGUAGCUGUGUUCCAGAGAGCAGCUGGAGGUGAGCUAUGGGACGCGGACUCGUGCAGACUGGUGCGGCUGGGCUCAGAGCCGGUCCACGCUCUGCUGACAGUGGAAGAUGCUGUGUGGGCGAGCUGUGGCCAUCAUGUCUCUGUCAUCCAGGGAGAGGGUCUGCACACACAGGUUUUGGAAGUUCACCAUGAUCCAGGCUGCCGGGUUCGCUGCAUGGUGCGUUCAGGAGCUGGAGUCUGGAUGGCCUUCACAAAGGGCUCCUCCAUUUACCUGUUUCACACUGAGACACUGGAAGCUCUGCAGGAAGUGAACAUCUCAGCCCGUUCCAGGCAUCCAGGUCAGCUCACGGUCUCCUGUAUGCUGAUUUGCCAGGGUUUGUUGUGGGUGGGCACCAACCAGGGAGUAAUCCUCACUUUCCCUGUUCCCACCCUGGAGGGCAUCCCCAGGAUAACAGGUCUGUGCUGGAACUCACGAAGACCUGGUUCAUUCUGUAAAUGCAGCUUCUGCAGACAAUCCAGUCCGCCCACACUGCCAGGCUUCUCCUGUGACCACGAGGUUUACAGAGGACAAAAUACAACAACAAAAAACUACUUUUACUGUCCUGCAGAGGGCGCUGUGAAUCAUACCAGCUGUUAUGAGAAAAGAUCUUUAAAGUUUAAACACAGCUGUUCAAGGAAAAGCCAUGAAUCCUCUUCUUAGAGAUGACAUACUAAACUUAUUUUUCCUUUUCAGAACUACAAAAAUAUGUCAAAGUAACAAAUCCGACAAACAUUUGUGUCAUGAAGGGAUGUAAAAAAACAGCUUCACCUUUAACCCUUGUGCUAUCCUAUGAGAACCCCCCCCAACACACACACACACAUUGACGUGUUCUCCCUACCAUGACAAAGGUGGAUAAAGGUGGAAACAUUUCAUGAAAUCCAUGGACACCAGUGACGAUCACAAGGGUUAAAACCAUUUCUCUGUCUAACCCAGGGGUCGGCAACCUUUUUUACUCAAAGAGCCAUUUGGGACCGCCCCUAAUGGAAAAAAAGCACCCGGAGCCACAACCCGUUUUGAC
rnacentral:lncRNA from 1 species